rnacentral:misc_RNA from 1 species
GGGUUAGUAGGUUGGUCAUGCCUCUGGUAUGUACUGGUCUCACUGAUUCCUCCUUCCUGAUGAACCGUAAUGCCAUUAAUUUGGUGUUGCGGGGAAUUUGGACUGUUACUUUGAAAAAAUUAGAGUGUUUAAAGCAGACUAUCGUCUGAAUACAUUAGCAUGGAAUGAUGAAAUAGGACGGACUGAUUCUAUUUCGUUGGUUUCUAGGAUCACCGUA